UACGUAGGGGGCAAGCGUUGUCCGGAUUUCCUGGGCGUACCGAGCGCGCAGGCGGUCGGGUAAGUCGGAUGUGAAAGCCCCCGGCUCAACUGGGGAGGGUCAUUCGAUACUGUUCGACUCGAAGGCAGGAGAGGGAAGUGGAAUUCCCGGUGUAGUGGUGAAAUGCGUAGAUAUCGGGAGGAACACCAGUGGCGAAGGCGACUUCCUGGCCUGUUCUUGACGCUGAGGCGCGAAAGCUAGGGGAGCAAACGGG
rnacentral:rRNA from 1 species